GACGAACGCUGGCGGCGUGCCUAAUACAUGCAAGUCGAACGAGUGGCGGACGGGUGAGUAACACGUGGGAACCUACCCAUCAGAGGGGGAUAACACUUGGAAACGGUAGCUAAUACCGCAUACCAUCCGAUUUGCCCAGAUGGGAUUAGCUAGUUGGUGGGGUAAUGGGUCACCUAGGCGACGAUCCCUAGCUGGUCUGAGAGGAUGACCAGCCACACUGGAACUGAGACACGGCCCAGACUCCUACGGGAGGCAGCAGUGGGGAAUAUUGCACAAUGGGCGCAAGCCUGAUGCAGCCAUGCCGCGUGUAUGAAGAAGGCCUUCGGGUUGUAAAGCACUUUCAGCGAGGAGGCGUUACUCGCAGAAGAAGCACCGGCUAACUCCGUGCCAGCAGCCGCGGUAAUAC
rnacentral:rRNA from 1 species